rnacentral:lncRNA from 1 species
AUGCUGGAGGAGAGGGCAAAGCAGCAUCUUGAGGAGUCUAGUAGCUUGUCUGGAGCUGUCUCUCACUGUCUGCAAGAACCCUCUGCUGCAAACAGUUCCCCCAAUAUAAUAAAGGCAACCUGUCAGGGAGACUGUGCUUUCCCAAGCAACCUACAUUCCUGAUCCCAGACCAAAAGACUCACUUAUUUGAGCACACUUUUAGAUGGGAUGCAGUGACAGCAUUCAUGGGAUCUUGCCUGUGCAUGUGGAGGAGGAUGCUGGAAACAACCACCUCUCAUUUAAGGUACGUUUUUCUAUGGUGAACAUCUGAGUGACCGUCUUGUACUUAUCUUGUGUGCUAGUGGAUUUGGAUCUUGAAUUCCUUGAGACAUGCCCUGCUUUCAGUCACUGGUUCAAAUCUUCCGUAGAAAUACAAACAGAGCUUAAGCACUGUGCAGAUUAUUCAGAACAUAAGGAACAUCUGAUGAAGUUUUCACCUGUGUAGGAUAUGCCCUAUGGUUUCAUUCUUAAGCAAAGCUUCUCAGACAGUGUGUAGUUAACCUAGAAUGCUCUUCUAAGGCUAGGCUUGAGCAAGAGCUGCAGCUUUGAGGACUUGGUUCCUCUGUUUGUUCUCACUGGGGAAAUGCUAUUCAGCUGCAUAAACAGUCAUUUUAAUAAGGAGGGAAAUUGAGAGAUUGCUUCCUUCACAAGUUCAAUUCCCAUUUUAUGACAUUAUGUAACUAAUCCUGGUUUCAACACUUCAGCAGGAUGAAACUGGAAGGUAUUUCUCCUUUCUUGUCACAGCACUGUAUUGUAAUGCUGAAUUUAGCAGGGUGAAGCAAGGAUUUUCAUCUCUUACCACCACUUCCAUCUCUCUCUGAAGCCACUCAUGGCUGCACCCUGCAGGUGUUCAGGACUGUUUUUCAAAAGAGUGCUCCUUCUUCUGGACGGUGAACUGAAUUAAGAGCAAAGCUGCAUGUACCUUGGAUGAGGGAGAAAAUCUUAGGUUUAGCACUGAACUUGGCAGUCAGGAAACUGCAUAAACUGAGUACCUAAAGUUUUUGGCAGAUGCUGAUUGGAAGGAGGAAUGAGAAUUUGAAAGCAUCUCUGCACCUUUACACUUUGAAUUAAAACUAGAUGUACUGUAGCUGUAGUUCUAUGUAAACUCUCUUGGCAAGUGCUUUUUCACCUUUUACUGCAUUUUAAAUUUGGCUCAUCAUGCACUGUGUUCCACACAGAGCAUAAAACUGAGUUACUUGCAGAUUGGCUUCUGAGGCUGUAGUAAAAGGUACAGUCAUAUGCUGAAUUCUGAAGAUAUUUUUC